UUUGUUGUAGUCUAGUUGGUUAGGAUUCUCGACUAUCAUUUGAGAGACUUGGGUUCAAGUCCCAGCAACGGAA